CCUACGGGUGGCAGCAGUGGGGGAUAUUGCACAAUGGGGGGAACCCUGAUGCAGCGACGCCGCGUGAGUGAAGAAGUAUUUCUGUACGUAAAGCUCUAUCAGCAGGGAAGAAAAUGACGGUACCUGACUAAGAAGCCCCGGCUAACUCCGUGCCAGCAGCCGCGGUAAUACGUAGGGGGCAAGCGUUAUCCGGAUUUAGUGGGUGUAAAGGGGGCGUAGACGGCAGCGCAAGUCUGGAGUGAAAUGCCGGGGCCCAACCCCGGAACUGCUCUGGAAACUGUGCAGCUGGAGUGCAGGAGAGGUAGGCGGAAUUCCUGGUGUAGCGGUGAAAUGCGUAGAUAUCAGGAGGAACACCGGCGGCGAAGGCGGCUUACUGGACUGUAACUGACGUUGAGGCUCGAAGGCGUGGGGAGCAAACAGGAUUAGAUACCCGGGUAGUC
rnacentral:rRNA from 1 species